UUGUCAUAUGCUUGUUUCAAGGACUAAGCCAUGCAAAUGUUAGAGAACUUGCCAUUCGUGGCAGGGGGGUCUGUGCACGGCUCAUUAAACGGUUUAUUAUCUACCCAACGAAGGAGGGACUUGUGCCCACCCUACGGGAUAACUGCGCUAAGUGUGCAGCUAAUACCUGGAAGAAGAUUCCGCGACCAUCAAACCACAUGGCGGGGUAACUUUGCUGUGUGGGGUCUCGGAAGCGGUUGGCCGAAACAAAAACUAUCGCCGCUCCAGCGGCGGAUGUAAUUGUUGACGCAGGCCAACGAAGCAGAAGCACACCUUUUGGUGCGCGUUGUUGGACGAAUUCACCACCUAUCAGGCUUGUAGGUAGUGUAGUGGACUACCUAACCUUUGACGGGUAACGGGGGAUUGGGGUUCGAUUCCGGAGAGGGUGCCUGAGAAACGGCAACCAUGACUAUGGUCAGCAGCAGGCGCGCAAAUUGCCCAAUGCUAACACAAUUAGCGAGGCAGCGACGAAAAAUACCAUUCUCAGGGGUUCCUUGAGAGCGUGGAAUGGAUUGUAUCUAAUAGACACUGCUGAAAACCAUU
rnacentral:rRNA from 1 species